AAGAGGGUUACUACCUCCGUUGGGGGUUCCUUCUGGAUAAUCCCACCGUGGAGCUAGGAGGCAGCGUUUUUUUGGAGGCCUGGUUUCCCGGGUAUUUCCAGGUGGGAGUGUGGAUCUCCCGGAGGCACAAGAGUUAUGGAAAAUAAUAAUUCAUCUUACUAUCUGGUGUAUUAUAUUCUAUGAUAUAUGGUCUCCCAGGAGUUCUGUGUACAUGUUUGUGCAUGCCUUCAACAUUCAAACAGAAGUUGACAAUUCUGCUUUAAUCUUCACUUCUUGCUUGCACAGAGCUUCAAAGUCAGUCAGAGGUAAGGACUUGGCUUCUUUGGUUGGUAUCUGCACAAUCCUGGGCAUUUGCACAUGCAUAUUCAUAUGUGUGGUCUUCUAGACUACCAGGAAU